UACGUAGGGACCAAGCGUUGUUCGGAUUUACUGGGCGUAAAGGGCGCGUAGGCGGCAAUUCAAGUCAUCUGUGAAAUCUCCGGGCUUAACUCGGAACGGUCAGAUGAUACUGCUUUGCUAGAGUGGCGGAAGGGGGCAAUCGGAAUUCCUGGUGUAGCGGUGAAAUGCGCAGAUAUCAGGAGGAACACCGGUGGCGAAGGCGGGUCUCUGGGCCGACAUUGACGCUGAGGAGCGAAAGUGUGGGGAGCGAACAGG
rnacentral:rRNA from 1 species